CCUACGGGCGGCUGCAGUAGGGAAUCUUCCACAAUGGGCGAAAGCCUGAUGGAGCAACGCCGCGUGGGUGAAGAAGGUCUUCGGAUCGUAAAACCCUGUUGUUAGAGAAGAAAGUGCGUGAGAGUAACUGUUCACGUUUCGACGGUAUCUUACCAGAAACCCACGGCUAACUACGUGCCAGCAGCCGCGGUAAUACGUAGGUGGCAAGCGUUAUCCGGAUGUAUUGGGCGUAAAGGGAGCGCAGGCGGUCUUUUAAGUCUGAUGUGAAAGCCUUGGGCUUAACCGGAGUAGUGCAUUGGAAACUGGGAGACUGGAGUGCAGAAGAGGAGAGUGGAACGCCAUGUGUAGCGGUGAAAUGCGUAGAUAUAAGGAAGAACACCAGUGGCGAAAGCGGCUCUCUGGUCUGUAACUGACGCUGAGGUUCGAAAGCGUGGGUAGCAAACAGGAUUAGAUACCCUUGUAGUC
rnacentral:rRNA from 1 species